rnacentral:rRNA from 1 species
UACGUAGGGGGCAAGCGUUGUCCGGAAUCAUUGGGCGUAAAGAGCUCGUAGGCGGUGUGUCACGUCGUUCGUGAAAACCUGCAGCUUAACUGUGGGCGUGCGGUCGAUACGGGCAUCACUGGAGUUCGGCAGGGGAGACUGGAAUUCCUGGUGUAGCGGUGAAAUGCGCAGAUAUCAGGAGGAACACCGGUGGCGAAGGCGGGUCUCUGGGCCGAUACUGACGCUGAGGAGCGAAAGCGUGGGGAGCAAACAGG